GCGGUCUGACCGUGCUUGGCUAGGCUUCAACGGGAUCGUAACGAGAUUAAGAUGUAUUUUGCAGCUCACUGAGUAACAUGUUUCUAGUCUGUGUAAUUUCUGCGUGAAACCAGACACGGAACAUACUUUACGUAUAAUACGAACGGUAUUUGCAAAUAAAUGGGAGUAACUGAUGAGGAAAUUCGGUUGUCGUUUCCUAAAAAAAAAGGGAGAACACGUGGGCGUUUAAUGUUAUUAACUGUCUAGAUGGUAGCACGCCAUCCUCCGGUGCAGCAGGUGGCGUUAGAUUGAUUCUGUGAUUACACGAUCGCCUGGCUAUUCAAUUCCAGCAAAGAAGAUCUCCAGAGGCAGUAUGUAGUUAGGUACGACUUUGAAUGUUAAAUGGUUAUUCGAAAUAAAUUUACAAGGACACUGAUUUAAUUCGAGAUGAGGGAUGUGUCCAUUCGUAGCUGAUGGAGUCAGUGCUUAUAGUGACCCCCGUCACAGCCCUGGAGUUCCUGGGGGAGGACUACCUUCUGGCAGGUGAUGGCCCAGUUCUGUCAGUCUACAAUCUGAAGACUUCACCCACAACUUCUGCUUUGCUCAGCGUCCUCCAGAACUUCCGCAUCCAUGGAAUCCGUCCUCACCAACAGCAGGGAGAUAAAGCUGAACAUACAAGCGUAGCUAAGAAGGAGGAGGAGGAACCCCAGGGACUAUCAUGGCAGCAGAGGGCACACUUAGUGGUAUUCGGGGGCAAAGCAGUGAGGCUUGUGGAGCUGAAAAUGGGGGAACUCCCCAGCCUCCAGCCCCUUGGCCCGCUAAUCCAGCUGCGGGACUGGGUGCUGGAUGUGCACUGGCUGGACGUUCGCGGUGACCUCUUGGGUGUCACACUGGCCCAUAAUGCCACGCUGCUGCUCGAUGUGCAGAAGGGAAGCACGCUGGCCCUCUGCUCCUGUGAGGACGGCUGCCUUCUGUAUUCGGCCCUGCUGGUGGGACCUUGCUGGAAGAGCUUAGUUGUGGUGGGGGGCACCAUCUUUAACCAGCUGGUCCUCUGGAGACCUGGAGAGGGAACAGAAAAGGAAGGUGGGAGAAACAUGGUGGGGAGAGUGGAGCGGAGGUUGCUGGGCCAUAGCGGCGUGAUCUUCAGCCUGGCCUACCUUCCCAAGCCGGGCUGGCUGGCUUCGGCUUCAGAUGACCGCAGUGUGCGAGUGUGGGAUGUGGGUGCUUUGGGGGGGGAGGCAGGAUGUGGAGCUCCCUCCCCGACCUGCUUGCGGGUUCUUUAUGGUCACCAGGCUCGGGUGUUCUCUGUAAAGCUCUCAUCCGCUGGGGCAUUCAGUGCAGGUGAGGAUGGCGUCUGCCUGGCAUGGGACUGGGACAGCGGGAAGGUAACGCGUGCCCUGAGGGGGCACCGGGCGGGAGGGGUUAGGGCGCUGGCCGUCAGCCUGGGAGGAGCUGGGGGAGGUGGGUACGUAGCUACAGGGGGCACAGAUGGUGGCAUCCGUCUCUGGAGCCUCAAGGAAGAGGACAGCGGACUAGAGGAUGCAGGGGUCCUGCGUGAUCUGGGGUUUGAGGGUGUAGGUUGCCCUAAGGUGGUGCGUGUGACUGGGGGCAGGGGCUUGAGGCAGAGAGGAGUGGUAAUCACCACUGAUCAGGGGGAGGUUUAUUCGUGGGAGGAGCAACGUGGCUGGCAGCUGUUAUGGAAGGGAGGUGCGGGGUUCUGUUCCUACAAUGUAAUGGAGGUGUUGGAGUGGUGGAGUGGGGAUGAGAUGUGUGCCGUUGGCAGCCUGAGUGGAGAGGUAUGGCUCUUCCCGCUGUCUCAGCCCAGCGCCGGGAUACGGCUGAAGGCAGGGACAGGGAAGAUCCAUAGCGUGCUAUGGGUACACCCAACGGGGGGCCGUGGUGGGUAUUUGUUGGCAUCGGGGGCAGAAGGUGUGGUGUACCGUUGGCAGAUAGAUACAGAGUUGGUUGGGGGGGCUGUGGUUCUUAAUACCGAGCCCCUGGGUCCUUUUAUUCUUCCCCCCUGUGCGAAACGCUGGCUGACCACCGCAGUGCUCAUAUCUCGGCCAGAGGGGGCGCUGUGGGUGUGUGGAGACCGGAGAGGUUCACUGCUGCUGUAUCGUGACAAAGCGGAGGAGGCUAAGGCAGAUGGAGCCUUGCAGCCCAUGAGCGUCCUGUUCGGGGUGCACGGGAAGCAGGGCGUGACGUGCGUGUGCGAGCACGCUGGCCUGAUCUACAGCACCGGGCGUGACGGCUGUGUACGCGUGUCCCGGCUGGAUGCCAGUGCUCUGGAGGUGCUUAGGGUACAGCGGGCCUGCCGUGGCAUGGAGUGGCUGGAGAGGAUUAUGGUUCUGGACCCGGAGGUGAAUCCAGUGGAGGGGGAGCAUGGUGAGCGCCAUGCAGGGGAGGUGAGGUUGAUCUUGGGGUUCCACUCAGUCUACUUCGUUGUCUGGGACCUGGUCCGGCAGGAGCGGCUCCUGUCAGUGCCUUGUGGGGGGGGGCACCGGUCCUGGAGCUACUGGUUACCCCAGAGCCCAGGUGCCGACGGUGCAGGCACAGUAGUGUUUGUGAAGCACGGAGCAGUCAUGGCCUCUCGUGCCCCAGAGGAGACCUUCCAUCAGCAGGGAGGUUGGGAGCUGAAGGAAGGGAUCCACGGUAGGGGUGUCACCUGUGUGUGCCACCUAGGUGCCGUCCGGGUCGCCAGGCAGCAUUGGGAGAUCCUGGCAACAGGUGGAGAGGACACAACUUUGACUGUGUUGACGAUCGACCCUCGGAGCAGGGCUCUCAGGGUCCUGGCGCUCAUCACUGAUCACAUCUCCAGCAUCCGUGCACUAGCGGUCGUUCGGAGGCCAGGUGCUAGGGAGGCGAAUGACACCAAGCCACUCCUCUCUGUCCUGCUCUUCUCUGCCGGGGGGCGGGCCCAGCUACAGUGCUACAGACUCCUGAUUGGUGCGAAUGGACAGCUGGGUUUGCCUUCUUGUCAGGUGAUCCAGGUAGCUAGUCACCGGUUGGAUGAGCAAUGGGAACGGAGGCGGAAUCGACACAAGACUGUGAAAAUGGACCCUGAAACCAGGUACAUGUCUCUGGCGGUGGUAUCUGACGGAACAGAGGGGGUCCUUCUGGCUGCGGCCUGCAGUGACGGAGCCCUGAGGCUUUUCUCAUUGACUGAAACCAGUGGCCGCUUUCAGCUUCUGUGGGAGACUUUCUACCACCAACGAUGUGUGCUCAGUGUCGCCACCUACCUCCUGAAGGACCCACAGGGCUGCCAGAGGUUGUUUCUCUUCAGUGCUGCAACCGAUGGUGUGAUAGCUGUUUGGGAUACAAAUACAGUCAGAAAUCUGGAGAAUGGACCCUCUUCUGACACCUGCUGGAAGGAUCCACCUAGUCCUUGCCUCACGUUUCCAGCACAUCAGAGUGGAGUAAACACACUAGCAGUGUGGGAGGGGCACUGGGAUGAUCAGGGAUUGUCUCAGGCAGGGGGGCACUGGAUGACAGUGGCCAGUGGAGGAGACGACGGACAAUUGUCAGCUGUUUGUAUCCAAGUGCAGUUCCAUUCCAAGGAGGUAGAGGGCAGUGGAUUGACUCUGAACCUGUAUGCUAGGUCUGUGGAGCCUCUGGCCCAUUCAGCCCCCCUGACAGCUUUAAUACCCCUGGGUCCCAGACUCCUCAUCUCUGCCUCCCCGGAUCAACGCAUCUCCCUGUGGGACCGCCGAGGUUCCUCUUUGCGCCACCAGGGGGUGCUGUUCUCGCAUGUGGCCGAUAUCGCAGGACUAACAGCGUGGCAAGGAGAAGAGAGGCAGACCUGGGUGGCUGUUUGCGGACAGGGUUUACAGUUGCUGCGGCUGGAAGCGGAAGGCGACGGGAAAUAAGAUUGUGGAAGAGAUGCGAAAUGUGUCAUCUUCAAAGAAACUCACCCUUUUCAUACUGUCAGCGCAGAGGGGAGAGCGAGAGCGAGUGGAAAUACCCCAGAACCUAAUGAAAGGGAGGGCUGAGAGAGCAGGGAAAUAUUUGAAAAAUAUUGGAAGGAAUGUUCCAGAAAGGCAGAGGCCAAGUGCCCGAGGUCGGCGAAAGCUCUCUCAGUUCCUGGAAAAGGAAGGCACCUCUUAAAGAAUCCUUCGUCCGCUCCAGCCAUGUCAGACCGGCUACAGAACAAGUGAUAUCGCAGAACAGACUUCCCCUUGAUGAGUGUCCAGGAAAUAGGAUACCAGUGAAGCUUGGUCGCGCGGGACGACAACAGCCCCCUAAGCCUGGGAGGAGAGAAGGCGCCCCCAAGGUCUUGAACCCCAGCAUGACGGCUUGGGAAGUCCAGUCUUUGUCUGAGCCCUCCUUUGCGCGCAUCGACCUUCCCCCUCCGACCACUCAUGUACCACUGCCAUUGGACAGCCCACACGUUCCCGAGCCAAUGGGAGUCCCAGCUAUAAGCCCCGCCCAUAGCCCCCUAGCUGUCACACCCCCAGGCACUGAUAAAUUCACGAAAGUGUUCCGUAAUCCUCUCCCCCAAUGCCGCCCGCCCCGCCUGCCCCCUCUGCGGCCCAUCACCAACACCAGCUUCUCACGCAGUUUCACCUUCUCGUUCUUCCAGCUCCCGCUGCACCUGUCCACUCGUGGCCGUGCUGAGCGCAUCUCGCUACCGCGCCAGGUCCAAAACUGACUGCCAGGGCCGCAGCCGAGCCCUUGCUUCCUGUUCAGUGAUUCGGUCCUCAGCUACAGUACAGAGCAGUCAGAGAUCCCAGACAGUAGUUCCUACUGGAUACCACCAUACUGACAAUGCAGUGUUUCCACCACAGUUUUGGUUUGUUUGUUGGCUUAUUUGUGCGUGUUGUGCAGAGGAUAUGGUUUGUGAGUGUACAGUACAUGUACAGUUAGCGUAUAUACCUGUGUUGUACAGAUAGUACCAAUCAUGUGUUGGUACAUGUUAUUUAUUCAGCCGAUGCUUUUGUCGAAAGUGACAGGGAGGUGAGGAAAGCUUGGGGUCAGAGUACAAGAGCAUCCCUGAAGCAGUUUGGGUUAAGAGCCUUGCUCGAGCGCCCAGCAGUGGUGUCAUUAGGCUGCUGCCCAUGGGAUUUGAACCCAAGACCUUAUGGAUACAGCCACGGAUCCUUAACCUGCCAAGUUACACUCCGUCCAUGAUGGUGGCUUUCCUAAUUAUGCGUAGACUUCUUAAUUAGCUUCGUCAGUGGGGUGCUUGCUGUCGACAGUGGCGAUGUAAGAUGGAAGCUGUCACCAUAUCAUGGGGUCACCCAUCCAAUUAGACCUGACUCCCCCCACCCUAAAGAGAGGAGGGAAAUGGACAAGAUAUCCAUAGGCACACAGAGACUGAGAAGAACAAGUGGCCUAGGAAUUUGGAUGUGACAAGAUUCAGCUCUCCUUGCUCUUAACGCUUUUAGGUGUGGUUGUUGCAUAGCACAAUCUGGUGCCAGCACACGGCAACAGUCUGUACCUCUAUGCACCCCCCGGUGCACACCCAGCGGCUGAACCAGUCCACGUGAGCAGAACGCGUGCACACCCCACUGCCGCGUGCAUGCACCAGCUGACGAAACGCUGCGGUGGGAAUCACAGGCUUUGGGAGCGUUAUAUGGGCUUUGGGCAAUAAUCCACAAGACACCACGCCCUGUGCUGCCUACUCCACAGGACGAUUGGCAAACACUCUGCUCCUGAGGUCGCCAUACAUUAGAUAAGGGGAAGGCUAUUUCAGAUUAAUGCACAAUAAAAUUUACCAGCAAACACAUAAAACUGAAAGAUUGCCUGUUUGCUACUUGUUUUUUUGAGUUGUUUGGAGUUUAUUCUCUUUGCAUUCUGAAUAUAAAAUAACCUCUCAUAUAGCCUCACCUAACUGAAUGCAACAUACUGAAAUUGUAUGCACAACUGUUACAAAUAUAAAGAAUUCUUUGUGAAACAAUGCUAACUUUCACAAUAAAGAGUAUAAAAGAAUGUGA